UGUUUUUGAACUACCGAUAUUUUAGAUACCAUCGAUAUUUUAGACCUUGUGUAUAGUCCAUGUAGACAAAAUAAUAUUUAAAAAUUUAAAGAUUCAUGUAAAAUAUUAGAAUAAUAAUAAACCUAAAAAUCUAUAAAUAAUAAAUAAAUAAAAGCAGCAACCCCCAACGCUACCCCUUUCUCUCUCUCCCACCCCACAACUACUGUCUUCCCCAAUCAACCUGUACCAACCUCUCCCACCCUGCGUCAAUAUUCAAAGCUCCCUCAUUUACCCAUUUUUUAAUUCAUAACCUUCAUAUUUUGGUAAAUAUUCAAAGGUUCAAGGGUUGAAAUUUUGAAGAACUAAAAGAGACCUUUCAAUCUGAAAAAACAAAAACAAAAACAAAAAGACCGUUCAAGUUUUCGGCGUUGUUAAGGCGGACAUGUCUCCGGUGAACCUAGUCGCCACCUCGAUCCUAAUCUAUCUCUCUCUCUCUCUCUCUCUCUCUCUCUCUCUCUCUCUCUCUAGACUUGGUGGGGUUCGGUGUCAUCAUUGCCCUUUUGGCUUCGGUGGUUGGAUCUGCGAUUGCGAUUGGGGCUGGGUCUUCGACGGAUCUAGAGUUUUGGACUUGCUGGAUCUAUGUUGGAUCUAUGUGGUACAUGGUUAGGUUUGGACUGGAAGAACGG
rnacentral:lncRNA from 1 species